rnacentral:rRNA from 1 species
GAUGAACGCUAGCGGGAGGCUUAACACAUGCAAGCCGAGGGGUAUGUUUCUCUCGGGAGACAGAGACCGGCGAACGGGUGCGUAACGCGUAUGUAACUUACCUUAUUCAUUGGGAUAGCCCGGGGAAACUCGGAUUAAUACCGAAUAACACUCUGUGUGGCAUCACAUGGAGUUAAAAGAUUUAUCGGAAUAAGAUAGACAUGCGUCAGAUUAGCUAGCUGGUGAGGUAAGGGCUCACCAAGGCUUUGAUCUGUAGGGGGCCUGAGAGGGUGAUCCCCCACACUGGUACUGAGACACGGACCAG